rnacentral:tRNA from 1 species
GAGGGUAUAGCUCAAGCGGUAGAGCACAUGCUUAGCAUGCAUGAGGUCCUGGGUUCAAUCCUCAGUACCUCCU